rnacentral:rRNA from 1 species
UCUGGGACAAGCCCUGGAAACGGGGUCUAAUACCGGAUAACACUUCUUCGGGCAUCUGAAGAGGUUAAAAGCUCCGGCGGUGAAGGAUGAGCCCGCGGCCUAUCAGCUUGUUGGUGGGGUAAUGGCCUACCAAGGCGACGACGGGUAGCCGGCCUGAGAGGGCGACCGGCCACACUGGGACUGAGACACGGCCCAGACUCCUACGGGAGGCAGCAGUGGGGAAUAUUGCACAAUGGGCGAAAGCCUGAUGCAGCGACGCCGCGUGAGGGAUGACGGCCUUCGGGUUGUAAACCUCUUUCAGCAGGGAAGAAGCGAAAGUGACGGUACCUGCAGAAGAAGCGCCGGCUAACUACGUGCCAGCAGCCGCGGUAAUACGUAGGGCGCAAGCGUUGUCCGGAAUUAUUGGGCGUAAAGAGCUCGUAGGCGGCUUGUCGCGUCGGAUGUGAAAGCCCGGGGCUUAACCCCGGGUCUGCAUUCGAUACGGGCAGGCUAGAGUGUGGUAGGGGAGAUCGGAAUUCCUGGUGUAGCGGUGAAAUGCGCAGAUAUCAGGAGGAACACCGGUGGCGAAGGCGGAUCUCUGGGCCAUUACUGACGCUGAGGAGCGAAAGCGUGGGGAGCGAACAGGAUUAGAUACCCUGGUAGUCCACGCCGUAAACGUUGGGAACUAGGUGUUGGCGACAUUCCACGUCGUCGGUGCCGCAGCUAACGCAUUAAGUUCCCCGCCUGG